GGAGGGUGCAAGCGUUAUCCGGAUUUAUUGGGUUUAAAGGGUCCGUAGGCUGAUUUGUAAGUCAGUGGUGAAAUCUCACAGCUCAACUGUGAAACUGCCAUUGAUACUGCAAGUCUUGAGUGUUGUUGAAGUAGCUGGAAUAAGUAGUGUAGCGGUGAAAUGCAUAGAUAUUACUUAGAACACCAAUUGCGAAGGCAGGUUACUAAGCAACAACUGACGCUGAUGGACGAAAGCGUGGGGAGCGAACAGGAUUAGAUACCCUGGUAGUCCACGCCGUAAACGAUGCUAACUCGUUUUUGGGUUUUCGGAUUCAGAGACUAAGCGAAAGUGAUAAGUUAGCCACCUGGGGAGUACGUUCGCAAGAAUG
rnacentral:rRNA from 1 species